rnacentral:lncRNA from 1 species
UAGAUUUCCAAGACUUCAUAUCACAGUGCUCAUAAGAGUAGAUCCUGGAUUCAAGGUCUUACUGCUCCUGAAGCCUGUUUAUUUAUCCACAGGAUACUCUCCUGAUAUACCACGAUGCAGAAUGUCAAGUAGGAAAAGAAGCUGUUGCAUUGGGCAAUUAAGAAGUCAUUGGUGAGAGAAGUUUCAGUCUGAAGUGGAAUCAUAGUAAAUUACAGAAAAAUAGUCUUUGGAGAGAGAAGGAAUCUGGUUAAUCCACAGGCCACACAAUCAUGGUUGAAAAUUAGUGAAUGAGCGAAUGAUGGAUCCAUCUCUUGAAGCAAUACUUGAAUCGCAGAAUUCUUAUAUUGAUAGAAGCAGAAGGAAACCAGAAGUGCUCCAAUUAAAGGCCUCCAUUUUUCAGAUCAGCAGACUAUGAGCCAUGCAUAGGAUCACACACAGCUCUUUUAAAAAUUAUGAGCCACUCAGCCUCGGCCUCCGGAGGUGCCGGGAUUGCAGAC